rnacentral:rRNA from 1 species
UACGUAGGGGGCAAGCGUUGUCCGGAAUCAUUGGGCGUAAAGCGCGUGUAGGCGGCUCGAUAAGUCUGCUGUGAAAGUCCAAGGCUCAACCUUGGGAUGCCGGUGGAUACUGUCGAGCUCGAGUCCGGAAGAGGAGUGUGGAAUUCCUGGUGUAGCGGUGAAAUGCGCAGAUAUCAGGAGGAACACCAGUGGCGAAAGCGGCUUCCUGGUCCAGCACCGACGUUCAGGCACGAAAGCGUGGGGAGCAAACAGG